AAGCAGCAUAUCAACUUGGAUCGACGCUUUAAAAGAAGAAUCGAAGCGGCGUCUCGUCGGAUACUGGAGCCUCAUCAUGAACCUGCGGCUCGAAACCGCCUCAAAAAGGCAAAAAGCUGCCACGACGUGCUCUCAUUAAAGACGUCUCUGAAACGCUUGAAGCGAUGAAGCAAUUUAAAGCCGUCUGAUUCCACCUGCGUGAUGAAAAUAAUUACUUCCUUGUCCGAGCUC
rnacentral:lncRNA from 1 species